rnacentral:rRNA from 1 species
ACCUCGCGAGAGCAAGCGGACCUCAUAAAGUGCGUCGUAGUCCGGAUUGGAGUCUGCAACUCGACUCCAUGAAGUCGGAAUCGCUAGUAAUCGUGGAUCAGAAUGCCACGGUGAAUACGUUCCCGGGCCUUGUACACACCGCCCGUCACACCAUGGGAGUGGGUUGCAAAAGAAGUAGGUAGCUUAACCUUCGGGAGGGCGCUUACCACUUUGUGAUUCAUGACUGGGGUGAAGUCGUAACAAGGUAACCGUAGGGGAACCUGCGGUUGGAUCACCUCCUUACCUGAAAGAA